AAUGAACGCUGGCGGCAGGCCUAACACAUGCAAGUCGAACGGAUCCUUCGGGAUUAGUGGCGGACGGGUGAGUAACGCGUGGGAACAUACCCAAAGGUACGGAAUAGCCUCGGGAAACUGGGAGUAAUACCGUAUGUGCUCGAAAGAGGAAAGAUUUAUCGCCUUUGGAUUGGCCCGCGUUGGAUUAGGUAGUUGGUGGGGUAAUGGCCUACCAAGCCGACGAUCCAUAGCUGGUUUGCGAGGAUGAUCAGCCACGGUGGGACUGAGACACGGCCCAGACUCCUACUGGAGGCAGCAGUGGGUAAUCUUAGACAAUGGGGGAAACCCUGAUCUAGCCAUGCCGCGUGAUCGAUGAAGGCCUUAGGGUUUUAAAGAUCUUUCAGGUGGGAAGAUAAUGACUGUACCACCAGAAGAAGCCCCGGCUAACUCCGUGCCAGCAGCCGCCGCCG
rnacentral:rRNA from 1 species